UGGGGAAUCUUCCGCAAUGGACGAAAGUCUGACGGAGCAACGCCGCGUGAGUGAUGACGGCCUUCGGGUUGUAAAGCUCUGUUAAUCGGGACGAAUGGUUCUUGUGCGAAUAGUGCAAGGAUUUGACGGUACCGGAAUAGAAAGCCACGGCUAACUACGUGCCAGCAGCCGCGGUAAUACGUAGGUGGCAAGCGUUGUCCGGAAUUAUUGGGCGUAAAGCGCGCGCAGGCGGAUUGGUCAGUCUGUCUUAAAAGUUCGGGGCUUAACCCCGUGAUGGGAUUGAAACUGCCAAUCUAGAGUAUCGGAGAGGAGAGUGGAAUUCCUAGUGUAGCGGUGAAAUGCGUAGAUAUUAGGAAGGACACCAGUGGCGAAGGCGACUUUCUGGACGAAAACUGACGCUGAGGCGCGAAAGCCAGGGGAGCGAACGGG
rnacentral:rRNA from 1 species